rnacentral:rRNA from 1 species
AUUGAACGCUGGCGGCAGGCUUAACACAUGCAAGUCGAGCGAGGGGCGGAUGGGUGAGUAAUGUCUGGGCAACUGCCUGAUGGAGGGGGAUAACUACUGGAGACGGUAGCUAAUACCGCAUACUAUCAACUGUGCCCAGAUGGGAUGAGCUAGUGGGUGGGGUAAUGGCUCACCUAGGCGACGAUCCCUAGCUGGUCUGAGAGGAUGACCAGCCACACUGGAACUGAGACACGGUCCAGACUCCUACGGGAGGCAGCAGUGGGGAAUAUUGGACAAUGGGCGCAAGCCUGAUGCAGCCAUGCCGCGUGUGUGAAGAAGGCCUUCGGGUUGUAAAGCACUUUCAGCGAGGAGGCGUUACUCGCAGAAGAAGCACCGGCUAACUCCGUGCCAGCAGCCGCGGUAAUAC